rnacentral:sRNA from 1 species
AGCGCCUGUGACGGGUCAGGCACCGGUCCGUGAAACAGACUUCGCAGGCAGUCGACCGAUGUACGGCCUCGUACAUCCCGGAAUUAUCCGGGCUUUAACUCCUUCU